rnacentral:rRNA from 1 species
GACGAACGCUGGCGGCGUGCUUAACACAUGCAAGUCGAACGGAAAGGCCCUGCUUUUGUGGGGUGCUCGAGUGGCGAACGGGUGAGUAACACGUGAGUAACCUGCCCUUGACUUUGGGAUAACUUCAGGAAACUGGGGCUAAUACCGGAUAGGAGCUCCUGCUGCAUGUUGUGGGUUGGAAAGUUUCGGCUGUUGGGGAUGGACUCGCGGCUUAUCAGCUUGUUGGUGGGGUAGUGGCUUACCAAGGCUUUGACGGGUAGCCGGCCUGAGAGGGUGACCGGCCACAUUGGGACUGAGAUACGGCCCAGACUCCUACGGGAGGCAGAAGUGGGGAAUAUUGCACAAUGGGCGGAAGCCUGAUGCAGCAACGCCGCGUGCGGGAUGACGGCCUUCGGGUUGUAAACCGCUUUCGCCUGUGACGAAGCGUGAGUGACGGUAAUGGGUAAAGAAGCACCGGCUAACUACGUG